rnacentral:lncRNA from 10 species
AUUCUGAACAAUGGCAUUGUUCCCUUGAGCCAGGAGACUACAGUCUCCUGUGUAGGAGAGCGUUUGAAUUGGUAGGCAUGUUGUUGGGGGGUGUGUAUGUGUGUGUGUGUGUGUGUGUGUGUAUGUGUAAAGGAAAGUUCAGUCACUUUUCUCAGGGGCAGGAUAGAGCCAGUGCUCCAGCCUGGUACUUUCAGACAUGGUUCCAUGACAAUUCCAAUAGAAAGCAGCCUCUUUUCACUGCUUUUGAGCUCUCUCCCCAAGAGGCAAGAUCCUUUCUGGAUCAAGUUAACACUGGAAAGGAGGCUUUGGAAAUAGGGCAAGAAGAGUAGUGAGAGAGAGGAAAAAAGGAGGAGAAUAGAGGCUAAGGCAGGCAGGAGGAGGGAUAGAGAACUAGAGAGGAAGAGAUGAAAGGAAAAAGAGAAGAGGGAGAGAGCACAGAGGUGGGAAAGGCAGAAAAUGCCGGCUUGAUCGGUAGAGGAACUGAUACAGGCUUGAAGUGGAGAGAAGCUGCCCAGGAAAUGCCUGAGACCUUAUGAAUGACAAGUGGUCACAGUCUACCACCUCUGCUCAUGUGAUCUCACCCCCUUGCUUUUAUUUUUAUUUCUUCACCCUGACUGCUUUGAUCUCUUCUUAUUUCUCCCUCUUUCCCCAUGCAUUUUUCUUGUCUUAUCUUCCUCCUUACCCAUGAUUUAGUCCUAGAAAAUCCAGGCUCUUUCUGCUUGGUCUAUGACUUGAGGUUUGGGCUAAAAUUGCUGCUGAAUACUGAGCCAAUGACUGAGCCCAAAGAAACCUCCAAGUCCUAGUCUCCCUCCCUCCUCACCACAUUGACCUUCUCCAAAGGCUGACUCUGCUCUGUGCAGCUUGAGUCACGUGGCUCAGAGGUAACCUUCCUGUCAGCAGAGCUGCCUUGGCCUUACCAAGUGUACACAUGUGCACUCUCACCUGUCUCUGACGUCCAGGCAGCCCUAGGCAUGGCUUUUCCCUUAGACAUUCCAAUAUAGUCUCCCUUAUUUCUAUACCUUCUUCUGAUAUAGGGACUAAUGCUCACAGUCUUUCAGGAAAAAUAAAUUGUUCUGCCACCUUCAUGGAUCAGGCCAGUGGGCAGAAGUUACGUGCCUCAGCCAGUGAUGCCUGGGCUAGUGAGCAGCAGACUUGCAGACAGAGCAUGUUCAUCAAUUUCAUGUUCAUUGCUAAGCCCAUGUUUGUCCCACAUAAAACGGACUCUUGUCAGAUAAUGUUAAUGGGAGUGGGAGAUAGGGAGGUUCAUCCCAAGGAGAGCAUGUGCUUUACUAAUGGAAGCACCAAUAUACGCAUGGCAUGCAUUUCUCUAUUGGCCCAUUCAUUUGUCAAAUAAACAUCUACUGAGUAUCUACCAUGCACCAAAAUAUGUGUCGGACACACUGAAUAUAAAAAUCAAUUGACAGAGUUCCCCGCCUUCAAGAAAUAACACAGUUUUAUAGGAUAGGCAGAUGUGAAAACAAAUUAUUAAAACACAGUGGAG